GGUUGUUGGGCUAAAGUGGCUAUUUUUUACAGUGGGAAUAGCUGACCAUUGGAACAAGCUCAGAGACCUCAUAAACUCUUCACUGCACACAGCCCUGAAAAGCAGACUGGCUGCUCUUCUGCAAAUGAACCUGAAAUGACCAGUGGUGGCAAGAGAGAGAUGCUCCAUCUUCAGUUCAUGGUGACUUGGUGGACAAAACUGGAAAUAGACUUCCUAGAAGAAAACACAACAUGAAGAAAUCACAACCUUGAUCUUCAGCUGGCAAUGUCUGCACAAGGACCAGCAGAAGCUGUUGAUGUCUCUGUUCACUGUAGGGGAGUUGGACCAGAUGGCCUUUAUGGAUCCCUUCCAACUCAAACCAUUCUAUGAUUCUAUGGAUCUCAGAGCUCUUAGUGUCAAUGGGCAACAGGAGAAUUCCUCCCGCCUCUAUGAGGGAUCGAUAUCAUAUAGUAUCUUUGGUGGUUGCAGUGAUGGAAAUUAUGCUAGAUCACAGCUGGAGCAGCAGAAGAGUUGGACUCAGUGAUCCUUAUGGGUCCCUUCCAAAUCAGGAUAUUCUAUGAUUCAGUGAUUCCAUGAUUCUAAGAGUCUUUUAUGGGCUGCUUUCAGCCUGGAGGAGUUUGUGGGCUUGCUACUUCUCCAGGCACGUUCUGCAGUCAUAACAACAUAUGAUUUUUGAAUUAGUGUCACUGUCAUUCCAGGGAUGUGGAUCCAAGGGCAGUAGCCAUUGCAGGGUCAUAUCAGAAGAAUUAGAACAUACAAAUAGCUUUGCCCUCAUGGAUAUGAGAGCCUUCUCCAUAUGCUACGAGUCUAAAAAGGUCACAGCACUACAAGGAUAAAAGGCCUUCCAGGAGGUCAGAUGGAGCAUUGUGUCGGUAGGUCUUUGUACCUUACGUGUCCUUUCUCUGAUAUGAGGGGUUCAGACAAGCAUCAGGGCAGGAACUCCACAUCUGACAGUGACAUGACAUUAAACCCUUCAUUCAGCCAAGUUGGCCACCUCUCUGAUCAGCUGCCCAGCAGAAGGGCUGAGACCUUCCAAAAGUCUGCUCUGUGAAACUGAGAAUGCAAGGGGAACUAAGAGAUGAAGCCUCCUUCCCAUCCCAGCCCAACCCAUUUCACCCAUCCCUCCUUUACUCAGACAAGCCCAUUCCAGAGAGCCCUGCCAGAGCAGCACGCAGAGGACCCUGCAGCUGUCAGGUGUGCAAGCUGGCACUGUGCAACAGCUGAUUAAAAGAAGAUCCCCAUCUGCUGCAACACACAGGGAAGCUUCAUCUGCUCUGACAUCCCCCUGGCUGUAUCUCCUGUGCAAGUCGCG
ensembl:lncRNA